AGAGUUUGAUCAUGGCUCAGAACGAACGCUGGCGGCAUGCCUAACACAUGCAAGUCGAACGCGUGGCUUCGGCCACGAGUGGCGCACGGGUGAGUAACGCGUGGGAACCUGCCCAUUGGUACGGAACAACCGCGGGAAACUGCGGCUAAUACCGUAUACGCCCUGAGGGGGAAAGAUUCAUCGCCGAUGGAGGGGCCCGCGUCGGAUUAGGUAGUUGGUGGGGUAACGGCCUACCAAGCCGACGAUCCGUAGCUGGUCUGAGAGGAUGAUCAGCCACACUGGGACUGAGACACAGCCCAGACUCCUACGGGAGGCAGCAGUGGGGAAUAUUGGACAAUGGGCGCAAGCCUGAUCCAGCAAUGCCGCGUGAGUGAAGAAGGCCUUAGGGUUGUAAAGCUCUUUCGGCGGGGACGAUGAUGACGGUACCCGCAGAAGAAGCCCCGGCUAACUCCGUGCCAGCAGCCGCGGUAAUACGGAGGGGGCUAGCGUUGUUCGGAAUUACUGGGCGUAAAGGGCGCGUAGGCGGUUCAUCAAGUCGGGCGUGAAAGGCCUGGGCUCAACCCGGGAAUGGCGCUCGAGACUGGUGGGCUUGGAGUCCGGGAGAGGAUGGUGGAAUUCCCAGUGUAGAGGUGAAAUUCGUAGAUAUUGGGAAGAACACCGGUGGCGAAGGCGGCCAUCUGGACCGGUACUGNNNNUGAGGCGCGAAAGCGUGGGGAGCAAACAGGAUUAGAUACCCUAGUAGUCC
rnacentral:rRNA from 1 species